rnacentral:rRNA from 1 species
GUGGAUUAGAUACCCUGGUAGUCCACGCCGUAAACGAUGAGCACUAGGUGUCGGGGUCGCAAGACUUCGGUGCCGCAGUUAACGCAUUAAGUGCUCCGCCUGGGGAGUACGCACGCAAGUGUGAAACUCAAAGGAAUUGACGGGGACCCGCACAAGCAGCGGAGCAUGUGGUUUAAUUCGAAGCAACGCGAAGAACCUUACCAGGACUUGACAUCCCUCUGACAGGACUUUAACAGGUCCCUCCUUCGGGCAGAGGUGACAGGUGGUGCACGGCUGUCGACAACU